UCUUUGAUAUGAAGGGUGCUGUCUGAGAGA
rnacentral:piRNA from 1 species